AGCUGUUCGCGCAAAAUCAAAGACUCCAGAAGUUGAGGACUGCCUACGGUUGAUCCCAGUACAAAGAGCUUUAUUGUCACAGCAUAUGCAGUAUGCAUCUUUAUAAUGAAAGAAGCCCCCUGAUUUUGGUCUUCUGAGCAGAAAGAACCUCAGGAGACUAAUGGAACAAGUUAGAUGUCCAAAGCCAAGAGAAAACCUGUCAACGAAAUAAAUGCAACAGUUAACUCUAAGGCCUGAUUUCUCUACGAUUUGGCACUGUUAUAUAGGAGAACAGAUUACAGCAUACAGUCGUUCUGACAUAUGUUGGAUAGUUGUUCUUUGAUACCUCUGAAAGUGGAUUUGCCCAGCUCCCAAGGCCGAAUGCCUCUGCUGACCAGCAGUUCA